GAGCUAAGGAGAUUGUUAAAGCAAGUCUAAGGAGAAUUUCUGAUGCACAUCCUCAUUUAUCUAUGAACCUAUCAGGUACAUGCUCUACUGCUGUCUUCUUUAUCAUUAUUUCUAUUUUUCAAAUCUUAAUUAUUUUGGGUAUAAUCCUUACAUGGAAUGGUCUGUCAUGGAAUUAUUUGUUUAUUUCAUUAUCAUGUGAGUUGUCACUCAUAAUUUUAACAUUUAAGAGCACCAUCUGCCGUGAUGUUUUAUAUGGUUGCCCCACUCAAUCACUGAGCUUCACCAAGGAUAACCAAUCUAAUUGAGCUGGAUGAAUUUGACUAUCACGGGACAUCAAAAUGACGUGAGCUACUAGAGCUAUUCGCGAACCUAUAGUUGUUGUACAAAGUACCAGCUAAGUAGAAAUCCUUGAUGAUGGUUAUCAGUGGAGGAAAUCACAACCCGAGGAGUUACUUCAGGUGCACCAAUGUAGGCUGCACUGUGAGGAAACACGUUGAGAGAGCAUCACAUGACCUUAAAUUUGUGAUCAUUACAUACGAGGGAAAGCAGAAGCAUCAUGUUCCUGCUACAUGCUCUAGCAGUCAUGUUUGGAUUAAAACUGAAUUAGAAUGACAACGCGACUUCUCAAGAUAAAAAUGAUCUAUUUUGGUCCCUGUUCUCUACUUCUGUGACACAAAGCGGUUCUUUUGGGUGUUUCUUCGUCAACUCUGAAGUCCGCUUGCUUCCUCUUUGCAACGAUGUAGCUGCCAUUUGCUCAUCUCGGUUUUUGGAGCACUACACCACUGGUGUCGCAGAUCAGAUCUAGUGGAGUCGCGUUCAUCAUCUCCAUCACCGCAACCGCCUUCCCUUUCCCUUUUGCAGAGGCAUCGACGGUAAUGCUGCUACUAGCAUCGUUAGCGACAUCACCACUGAAGAUUGGAGAUGGGGUGGAGCACCCUCAAUCUCCUCCUUCCUCUGCCUCUUUUCGCCAGGCGCCAUCGUAGCUGCGUGUUCCUCACCGUAAUUGCCAUAUCCUUUUGCUUGCAUGUUGUUGUGUUAACUUUGCAAGUUGGUAUCGCAAUUGGAUCUGCGAUUAGAUUAAAUUCUUCUUCCUCUGUUUCUUCAUCAUCUAACAAAAUUGAGCUCUGAUCUCUUAUUUCUUCUUGUUGCUGAGGUUUUAUUGAUAUGUGGAAGUACUAAAUUCGAGUUUCUGUAUUUAUUUAUCUUUUAAUUCUUAUUGCCUCUCUUGAUUAAAAGAAACGACAAUUGUGAUAAUAUUUGACACGGUUCUACUGGAGACAGGGACAUCCUCUAUUUAAUGGUUCCCCCUCCUUAUGAUUGCUGCAUGUGGAAGCUGUAAUAAUCAAUUGCCAUGGCAAUGUAUUGUUCAAUGAAUCUAAGAUUAAGAUGGUCUUA